rnacentral:rRNA from 1 species
CACGGGGGGAGCAAGCGUUGUUCGGAAUCACUGGGCGUAAAGGGCGUGUAGGCGGUCGAGUAAGUGGGAUGUGAAAUCCCCCGGCUUACCCGGGGACCGGCAUCUCAAACUGCUUGGCUCGAGUACGGGAGAGGAUGAGGGAAUUCCUGGUGUAGCGGUGAAAUGCGUAGAUAUCAGGAGGAACACCGGUGGCGAAAGCGCUCAUCUGGCCCGAUACUGACGCUGAGGCGCGAAAGCUAGGGGAGCAAAC